rnacentral:rRNA from 1 species
GAUGAACGCUGGCGGUAUGCCUAACACAUGCAAGUCGUACGAGAGUUUUUAACUCUAGUGGCGGACGGGUGAGUAACACGUGAGAAUUUGCCUUUAGGAGGGGGGACAACAAUUGGAAACGAAUGCUAAUACCCCAUAUGCUUUCGAGUGAAAUGGAUUUUAUCCGCCUAGAGAGAAGCUCGCGGCUGAUUAGCUUGUUGGUAAGGUAAGAGCUUACCAAGGCGACGAUCAGUAUCNGGUUUGAGAGGACGAUCAGACACACUGGAACUGAGACACGGUCCAGACUCCUACGGGAGGCAGCAGUGGGGAAUUUCCGCAAUGGGCGAAAGCCUGACGGAGCAAUACCGCGUGAGGGAAGAAUGCCUAUGGGUUGUAAACCUCUUUUUCAGGGAGGAAUAAAAUGACGUGUACCUGAAGAAUAAGCAUCGGCUAACUCCGUG